GACGAACGCUGGCGGCGUGCUUAACACAUGCAAGUCGAACGAUGAACUACCAGCUUGCUGGUGGGGAUUAGUGGCGAACGGGUGAGUAACACGUGAGUAACCUGCCCUGGACUCUGGGAUAACCCCGAGAAAUCGGAGCUAAUACCCGAGAGGACCUUUCCCUGCAGGGGGUUUGGUGGAAAGUUUUUCGGUCUGGGAUGGACUCGCGGCCUCUCAGCUUGUUGGUGAGGUAAUGGCUCACCAAGGCGUCGACGGGUAGCCGGCCUGAGAGGGUGACCGGCCACACUGGGACUGAGAUACGGCCCAGACUCCUACGGGAGGCAGCAGUGGGGAAUAUUGCACAAUGGGCGCAAGCCUGAUGCAGCAACGCCGCGUGCGGGAUGACGGCCUUCGGGUUGUAAACCGCUUUUAGUAGGGAAGAAGGGCUUCGGCUUGACGGUACCUGCAGAAAAAGGACCGGCUAACUACGUGCCAGCCGCCGCAGUAAAAC
rnacentral:rRNA from 1 species